rnacentral:rRNA from 1 species
UUUAUGGAGAGUUUGAUCCUGGCUCAGGAUGAACGCUGGCGGCGUGCCUAAUACAUGCAAGUCGAGCGAACGGAUGAGAAGCUUGCUUCUCUAAUGUUAGCGGCGGACGGGUGAGUAACACGUGGAUAACCUACCUAUAAGACUGGGAUAACUUCGGGAAACCGGAGCUAAUACCGGAUAAUAUUUUGAACCGCAUGGUUCAAAAGUGAAAGACGGUCUUGCUGUCACUUAUAGAUGGAUCCGCGCUGCAUUAGCUAGUUGGUAAGGUAACGGCUUACCAAGGCAACGAUGCAUAGCCGACCUGAAAGGGUGAUCGGCCACACUGGAACUGAGACACGGUCCAGACUCCUACGGGAGGCAGCAGUAGGGAAUCUUCCGCAAUGGGCGAAAGCCUGACGGAGCAACGCCGCGUGAGUGAUGAAGGUCUUCGGAUCGUAAAACUCUGUUAUUAGGGAAGAACAUAUGUGUAAGUAACUGUGCACAUCUUGACGGUACCUAAUCAGAAAGCCACGGCUAACUACGUGCCAGCAGCCGCGGUAAUACGUAGGUGGCAAGCGUUAUCCGGAAUUAUUGGGCGUAAAGCGCGCGUAGGCGGUUUUUUAAGUCUGAUGUGAAAGCCCACGGCUCAACCGUGGAGGGUCAUUGGAAACUGGAAAACUUGAGUGCAGAAGAGGAAAGUGGAAUUCCAUGUGUAGCGGUGAAAUGCGCAGAGAUAUGGAGGAACACCAGUGGCGAAGGCGACUUUCUGGUCUGUAACUGACGCUGAUGUGCGAAAGCGUGGGGAUCAAACAGGAUUAGAUACCCUGGUAGUCCACGCCGUAAACGAUGAGUGCUAAGUGUUAGGGGGUUUCCGCCCCUUAGUGCUGCAGCUAACGCAUUAAGCACUCCGCCUGGGGAGUACGACCGCAAGGUUGAAACUCAAAGGAAUUGACGGGGACCCGCACAAGCGGUGGAGCAUGUGGUUUAAUUCGAAGCAACGCGAAGAACCUUACCAAAUCUUGACAUCCUU